CCUACGGGUGGCUGCAGUGGGGAAUAUUGCACAAUGGGCGCAAGCCUGAUGCAGCCAUGCCGCGUGUGUGAAGAAGGCCUUCGGGUUGUAAAGCACUUUCAGCGGGGAGGAAGGCGGUGAGGUUAAUAACCUCAUCGAUUGACGUUACCCGCAGAAGAAGCACCGGCUAACUCCGUGCCAGCAGCCGCGGUAAUACGGAGGGUGCAAGCGUUAAUCGGAAUUACUGGGCGUAAAGCGCACGCAGGCGGUCUGUCAAGUCUGAUGUGAAAUCCCCGGGCUCAACCUGGGAACUGCAUUCGAAACUGGCAGGCUAGAGUCUUGUAGAGGGGGGUAGAAUUCCAGGUGUAGCGGUGAAAUGCGUAGAGAUCUGGAGGAAUACCGGUGGCAAAGGCGGCCCCCUGGACAAAGACUGACGCUCAGGUGCGAAAGCGUGGGGAGCAAACAGGAUUAGAUACCCUAGUAGUC
rnacentral:rRNA from 1 species